AUUGAACGCUGGCGGCAGGCCUAACACAUGCAAGUCGAACGAGUGGCGGACGGGUGAGUAAUGUCUGGGAAACUGCCCGAUGGAGGGGGCUAACUACUGGAAACGGUAGCUAAUACCGCUUACCGUCGUAUGUGCCCACAUGGGAUUAGCUAGUGGGUGGGGUAACGGCUCACCUAGGCGACGAUCCCUAGCUGGUCUGAGAGGCUGAGCAGCCACACUGGAACGGAGACACGGCCCAGACUCCUACGGGAGGCAGCAGUGGGGAAUAUUGCACAAGGGGCGAAAGCCUGAGGCAGCAAUGCCGCGUGUAUGAAGAAGGCUUUCGGGUUGUAAAGUACUUUCAGCGGGGAGGCGUUACCCGAAGAAGAAGCACCGGCUAACUCCGUGCCAGCAGCCGCGGUAAUUC
rnacentral:rRNA from 1 species